rnacentral:rRNA from 1 species
UGAGGAAUAUUGCGCAAUGGGGGCAACCCUGACGCAGCGACGCCGCGUGAGUGAGGAAGGCCUUCGGGUCGUAAAGCUCUGUCAAAGGGGAAGAAAUGCAUGGUGGUUAAUACCUGCUGUGUUUGACGGUACCCUUAACGGAAGCACCGGCUAACUCCGUGCCAGCAGCCGCGGUCAUACGGAGGGUGCAAGCGUUGUUCGGAAUUACUGGGCGUAAAGGGCGCGUAGGCGGUUUGAUAAGUCAGAUGUGAAAGCCCACGGCUUAACUGUGGAAGUGCAUUUGAAACUGUCAGACUUGAGUACCAGAGGGGAAAGUGGAAUUCCUGGUGUAGAGGUGAAAUUCGUAGAUAUCGGGAGGAAGACCGGUGGCGAAGGCGACUUGCUGGCCGGAUACUGACGCUGAGGCGCGAAAGCGUGGGGAGCAAACA